UCUUCAGGCAGCAGUCAACAUGAUCAGAUUCCUGCACAAAAGACCCAACAACUUGUCUCUCUCGCUGGUCGGCGCACUUGUCCGACGUUCUACUCACGAGCCGACCACUUCGCCACCUAGCGACGAGCAGACUGCCAUCCAACUUGCAACUUUUUCCUCUGCUUUGUGAUUGUCUGUUCUGCAAAAGAAAUAAAGCUUGAUUACAAAGAACACAAA